rnacentral:misc_RNA from 1 species
UCAAGAUGAUGUCCCAUAGUGCAUAUUAUUUGUAGAUGAUGUCUUAGUGCAUGAAACUAGUGAAGUAAUUAAUUAAAAGUUGGAGUUGUGGAGAAGAACUCUUGAGAGCAAAGAUUUUAGGCUACGUAGAAGUAAGAUGGAAUAUAUGCAUGACAAGUUUAUCUCUUGUAGAAGUAAUGGAGGGAGAUUCGAUUGGAUGAAAUUUUAGUGCCAAAAUACAACCAAUUUAAG